CGUGAGGCUGCGGCUGCUGGGCGCGCGCGGCCCGGGAAGCGUGAGGGGAAGCGGCGGGGAUCGGGAUCGGGAUCGGGCGCCUUCUCCACAGCGGCACAGGAGCGGAGUGCAGCGUAACAGACAGGAGGAGCGCAGAAACUGAAAGCGUGGAGAUUGUGGUUGUUGAAAAUCGUCUUCCCAAAAAGGUGAAAAGAGCUCUUGAAAGAAGAUGGCGCUAAAUUCCACGUGUGAAUUCUAGGAGUAGCUGUGACUCAAUCUGUUAAUUUCUGCUUAGGGUAGGUUGGGUGUGUUUAGUCGUCUGCAACUGAUGCCUUUUGGGAGCAGUAGUAUUUCUAGUUGUCAAGCAGAGCUAGCAAAAGCUAAUUCUAGGCUAGGUCUUAACCUCGGUUUUUAAACAAAGUUAAAAUUUGGAGCUUUAGUGGGAGCUUCUGCAGUCCAUCUGAUCUUGAUGAAAAGGGACUGGAACCCAUCUUACUGUGCCUAAAAUUAUCUUUGCUUCUAUACAGACAGAUAGAGUUAGGGUCUCAUUAUGUGCUGCUCCUCUCUUUGGGUUGUCACUAAGCCUUAAGCUCUUGCAGUAGUGGAAUCUAGUUCAGUGGCUGUACUGUACCUUGAGGGAUGUCUCCUCUGCUCUCAGAGUGUGUUAGAAAGGUUGUAGUGAGUGUACCUGUGCUGCGGAAGCUGCAGGUAAGUUUUUGAAGUCUGGAAAAUGGAUGUGGAAGCUACAGCCGUGAUGUUGGUGUCUUGUGUGAAUGUAAAGCAUUGGAAUGUAUGAGUAAGUCAAUAAAGAGUUGUGACUGGCUGCAA